rnacentral:lncRNA from 1 species
AUAAAAAGAAGCAGAGUAACUUGUGUCAUGAAAUUGGGAAACGUUAUGUUGCUUAAACAAGGGAGCAAUCAACUAAAUAUCAAUCCGAACAACAGACAAUAGAUCAACCUUGUCGUCUUGCAAUAGAAGCAGCAAAAUAUAGAUGAGUAGAAAGUUCAAAAAGAAUCCUCAAACGUAGUAUUAUUGUUACAGGUGAAAUAGUUGACACUUAAUGCUGCACAUGUAAACACAGAGACAAUAUUCAUGUUCUAGUCAGUCAAUCCCCAAACUUGCCAGUAUACUGACAAAUAUAAUGUCAUCUGGAGUUUAACAAAGGGUGUUGUAUGAAUAGUUCUGCUAUUGCUCCUAUCAAAGAGAAGUAUGAAUAUAUCUUUGAACUUUCCAAACAUUAUGUACAGUUUUGGUUUUAAUAUAUUUCUGGUAGAGGCUAGGGUUCUACCAGGUCUCGGACGUAGGUUGUAAGGGUGGAAAUGCGGGCUGCAAGGUUGGGGACGCCGGCGCCGGCGGUUGGGCGCCGUGCGGCGUGAGAGAGAGAGGCGGCUAGGGUUUGGGGCUCCCGUCUCCUGAGGGAGAGGACAACAUAAUACUGUUUAUUGUCUGCCUAAUAUCGAAGGGGUACAUGUGUUUAUAUAGGAGGACAGCCUCCACUAAACCCUAGAUAACUUGGACUCUAACUUGGACUCUAAUAUAACUUGGACUCUAAGAUAGCUAAGAUAACUUGGGCUAAGCCCGUAACUAACCCUGCCCAUUGGGCCUCCUCCGUUGGUACGUUGUACCGGUCAUAACAUCUCUCCCCGCCUUCUCAAACAGCUCGUCCUCGAGCUGAACAUCUGGAAACUGCUGGCGGAAAUCGUCGAGCUUCUCCCAAGUCGCUUCCUCCUCUGGCAGGACGGUCCACUGUACCAAGACAUGCCAGACGCCGCGACACUGCUGCGCUUGCAGCACCUUCGCCACCUGUGCGGAAGCUGGAAGGAGGCGGCCAUCCGAAGUAGGAGGAAGGGCCGGCGUCGCUGCAAGAGGGUCCCCGCGGUAGGCCUUCAGUAAGUUGACAUGGAAGACGUCGUGGAGGCGAGAACCAGCUGGCAGCUCCAAGUGGUAUGCGAGUGUGCCGACACGCUCCAGCACACGAAAGGGACCGGCGUAGCAAGGUCCCAAUUUGCGCUCGGAGCACGGGUCCAGAGACUGCGUGGUCCUGUGGAGGAGGCGCAGCCACACCCAAUCGCCCACCGCGAACUCCGCCUCGCGAUGAUGAGCAUCGUAAUACUUUCGAGCCAGCUGCUGUGCUUGGAGAAGACGCCGGCGCGCCUCAGCCAGAAUGUCGUCGCGGGUGCGGAGUAAGUCGCCCGCCGUCUCGGGCCGAGCCGUCCCAAGCUCGUAAGGGAGCAUCGCCGAGGUGGGCGCCUGUAGACCACCUCGAAAGGCGUGGUGCGCAGGGCGGAGUGAUAGGAGGUGUUGUAGCAGUACUCCGUCCACGCCAACCAGUCCACCCAAGCUCGUGGACGAUCACCAGUAACACAGCGCAGGUACAUGGCGAUCACCUUGUUGACCACCUCGGAUUGGCCGUCUGUCUGAGAGUGGAACGUCGUGCUCAUGCGGAGCUUCACGCCCGCCAGUCGAAAGAGAUCCCGCCAGACAUGUCGCGUGAACACGGGAUCACGAUCGCUGACGAUGGACGACGAAAAACCGUGGAGGCGGACGAUGCCAUUGAAGAAGGCCCGCGCCACGGAGGCGGUUGUAUAUGGAUGACCCAGGGCGAUGAAGUGCGCGUACUUGGAGAAGCGGUCAACCACCAUGAGGAUGACGGACUUGCCGCCCACCUUGGGAAGGCCCUCGAUGAAGUCCAUGGAAAUAUCCGCCCACACCUGGGAGGGUACGUCCAGCGGCUGCAGUAGACCCGCGGGUCGUAGUGUCUCCGUCUUGUUCCGCUGGCACGUCACGCACGACCGCACCCAGUCGCAGACCAUCGCGCCAUCACCGGGGAUGUAAAAAUCAGCACGGAGACGAUGGAGAGUCUUCUGCACGCCCUCGUGCCCUACAGAGUGCGCCAAGGUCAGAACCUGGUGGCGCAGGUCGCCCUGGUCGGGCACGAAGAUGCGGCGGCCAUGUAGGGGCAGCCCCUCGUCCAAGCGCCAGGGCGCGUCCAGCUCGCCGGCGUCAAGGCGCUGGCGCAGGCCCUGCGCGUCCGCGGCCGUCAAAGUUGCCUGGCGAAUGUCGUCGAUGAAGGCGAAAGAUGGCCCGGAGCGGAUGCACAUGAUAGUGCCAGCCAUGGCGACGUCGUCCGCGACAUCCUCAAUGUCGCGGCGGGACAAGGCAUCGGCGACCGUGUUGAGACGGCCGGGGCGGUACUCGACGGUGAAGUCGAAGCCAAAGAGCUUGUUGAUCCACUGGUGCUGCGAAACUGUGGAGAGGCGCUAGUCCAGCAAGAACUUGAGGUUGUAGUGGUCCGUGCGCACACGGAAUGACCGGCCCCAAAGAUAAGGCCGCCAGUGGCGCACCGCCAGAACCAACCCAAUAAGCUCACGCUCGUAGGCCGCAAGCUUGUCAUGGCGAGCGGUAAAGGGGCGGCUGAAGAAGGCGAGCGGUCCCUCGCCCUGGUGGAGGACGGCGCCGAAGCCGAUGCCAGAGGCGUCGCAGUCCACCACGGUCGGCAUAUCAAAGUCCGGCAUCUGGAGGACGGGUCCCGUCGUAAGCGGCCGCUGGAGAGCCUCGAAUGCCGUAGCCGCCUCCUCGUCCCAGGAGAAGGCGUCGCGUCGAAGGAGACGCGUCAGUGGGCGGCGAUGAGGCCGAAGUCCCGUAUGUACUUCCGGUAGUAGCCAGUGAGGCCCAAGAAGCCGCGGAGCGCCUGCGGUGACCGCGGGGUCGGCCCGACGGCGGCGACCUUGUCCGCGUCCAUCGCUACCCCGUCCGCCGAGAUGACGUGCCCCAGGUACGCGACGGAGGUCGUGCCGAACGAGCACUUCGAGCGCUUGAGGUGAAGACGAUGCGCUUGAAGCUCGUUGAAGAUGAUGACCACGUGUUGUAGGUGCUCCGCCCAAGAUGCACUGUAGAUAAGAAUGUCAUCAAAGAAAACAAGCACAAAGCGACGCAAGUAUGGGUUGAGCACGUCGUUCAUCAGGGCCUGGAAGGUCGCCGGCACGUUGGAGAGGCCGAACCGCAUCACCAGGAACUCGAAGUGGCCAUGGUGAGUGCGGAACACCAUCUUCUCGAUGUCGUCAGGGUGCAUGCGCACCUGAUGUUAGCCCGAGCGAAGGUCGAGCUUGGUGAAGAAGCGUGCUCCGUGUAGCUCGUCCAAGAGCUCAUCCACGACGGGGAUGGGGAACUUGCCCUUGGACGUCAGGGCGUUGAGGGCGCGGUAGUCGAUGCAGAAGCGCCAUGUGACGUCGGGCUUGCGCACAAGGAGCACCGGGGCGGAGAACGGCGAUGUCGAAAUCCGGAUGAUGCCCUGGAUGAUGCCCUGCGCGAGCAUGACCGCCACCUGACGCUCGAGCUCGUCUUUCUGCAGCUGAGGGUACCGGUACGGGCGCACGGCGACAGGUGCCGUGUCCGGCAGCAGGUGGAUGCGGUGGUCACAGGGCCGCGCGGGAGGGAGGCCCUGUGGCUCGUCAAAGAUGUCGCUGUGCUGCUGCAGGAGGUCGGCCAGGAGGGGAUGCGCCUCGUCCAGUGCGGCCGCCAUCAAUUGGAGCUGCGGAGUUGCGGCGCCGGAGCCGCCAAUGCUUGUCCACUGAACGCGACGGCCGCCCUCGCGCCAGAAGAUGAGGGACAACACAUCGAGGUCCCAAAGGAUGGGGCCGAGAGUGGACAGGAAGUUGAUGCCGAGGAUGAAGUCGUAGCAGCCCAGGUCGAUGCCGACGCAGUCGAUGGAGAACGGCUCGUCGCUGAUGAGGACGGGAACCUGCCGCGCCACCCCCUGGCAAGCAAGGCGGUCCCCGUUGGCGACGGUGACGCUGAACUUCUCCGAGCCCGCCGGUUGGAGUGCGAGGCGGCGCAUGGCGUCCCCGGACAGGAAGUUGUGCGUCGAACCCGUAUCUACGAGCGCGGUGAGACGCUCCCCGUUGAUCGUCACCGGAAGCAGCAUCGUCUUUGCCGUCUUGAUGCCAGCCAUGGCAUGAAGGGAGACGACGAAGACGGUCGCGUCGACCGGCCCGUAGGUCGUAACGCCGGCCUCGGAGAGUGUGGUGGCGUCGAGCUCUACGGUGAGGGCCUCCACCUCUGCGUUGUCAACGGUCUCCAAGUAGAACAGGCGGGCGCACGUAUGACCCAGCGCAUACGGCUCGUCGCAGUUGAAGCACAGGCCCUUGCGGCGCCGCUCGAGCUGCUCGGCCGACGUUAAGCGCCGGAAGGUGCGUGUCGGCGCGGGGGCAGCCGCAGUAGUGGCCGGCAGGGCGGGGCGUGUAGGGGUGGCGGCCGCCGCGGCGGGUCGGGGGACGCGUGCCGCGGCCCGGGAACGCCUGCUGCAGGGCGUUGGCGCGCUGCUCGUACGCGCGUGCGUAAUACAUGGCCGUCUGCAGGUCCUGGGGGUCGCGCAUCUCGACGUCGAUGCGGAUGUGGUCGGGAAGGCCGCCGACGAAGAGCUCGGCGCGUUGGCGAGCCGUGACGUCAGGCGCAUGGCAGACCAAUGUCUGGAAGCGGUCGGCGAAGUCCUGCACCGAGGUGGUGAAGGGAAGGCGGCCGAGCUCGGCCAGGCGGCUCCCACGUAUGGGGGGCCGAACCGGAGGAGACACAGGUCGCGAAAGCGCUCCCACGGAGGCAUCCCGCCCACGUCCUGCUCGAGGGCGUAGUACCACGUCUGGGCGGCGCCACGGAGGUGGUAGGAGGCUAUCCAUGUGCGGUCGGACGCCAUGGUCCGCUACCCCCUGAAAAACUGGUCGCACUGAUUGAGCCAGUUCAGGGGGUCGACGGUGCCGUCGUAGGUGGCGAACUCCAGCUUGGUGAAGCGGGGUGGCUGCUGCACGUGUGGAGAGGCCGCGUAGGCGCCCUCGUGACGACCCAGCGCGGCGGAAGGAGAGUGUUGCAACACCACGGAGCUCCCGGCGUACGGGUCAGUGUACCCGCCCAAACCCCCGAAGGUGGGGGCGGGUGGCUGCAACACCGUUGGCUGUAGCGGCGCCGUCGUGUAGGUCGGCGUGUCGAUCCACGUCGGUAGCGGGGACGGCGACGGCGGCCACCGGACCUGGGUGAUCGGCAGGCCCUGGGGCGCGACGAUGGCCGGGGGCGGUGGCGCGAAGGGCGCCGCCGGCGGAGGCGGUGGUGUCGGGGUUGCGUACGGAGCCUGGAGGAAAGUCCGGAGGUUCGAGACCGCCAGGGUGAGGUCGCGGAUCGCCGAGGACAUCUCUGCCGGGGAGAGGACGGGGGCGGCUUCGGCCGCCAGGGCCGCGGUACCGGAGGCGGCCGGACCUGAGAUGGCCGACGACGGCGACUGGUGUGGCGGCGGCGGCUGCUGCGAGGUGGCGGGGAAGGCGGUGGUGGCGGCGGCGGUGGUGGUGGGAAGGUCCGACAAACUCAUCGAACCCAAGCUACCUGAUACCAAAUUGGUAGAGGCUAGGGUUCUACCAGGUCUCGGACGUAGGUUGUAGGGGUGGAAGUGCGGGUUGCGAGGUUGGGGACGCCGAGACGCCGGCGCCGGCGGUUGGGCGCCGUCGCGACGUGAGAGAGAGAGAG